rnacentral:rRNA from 1 species
GGAUUAGAUACCCCGGUAGUCCAUACCGUAAACGAUGGGUGCUAGUUGUUAAGAGGUUUCCGCCUCCUAGUGACGUAGCAAACGCAUUAAGCACCCCGCCUGAGGAGUACGGCCGCAAGGCUAAAACUUAAAGGAAUUGACGGGGACCCGCACAAGCGGUGGAGCAUGUGGUUUAAUUCGAAGAUACGCGAAAAACCUUACCAGGUCUUGACAUACCAAUGAUCGCUUUUGUAAUGAAAGCUUUUCUUCGGAACAUUGGAUACAGGUGGUGCAUGGUCGUCGUCAGCUCGUGUCGUGAGAUGUUGGGUUAAGUCCCGCAACGAGCGCAACCCUUGUUAUUAGUUGCCAGCAUUUAGUUGGGCACUCUAAUGAGACUGCCGGUGAUAAACCGGAGGAAGGUGGGGACGACGUCAGAUCAUCAUGCCCCUUAUGACCUGGGCAACACACGUGCUACAAUGGGAAGUACAACGAGUCGCAAACCGGCGACGGUAAGCUAAUCUCUUAAAACUUCUCUCAGUUCGGACUGGAGUCUGCAACUCGACUCCACGAAGGCGGAAUCGCUAGUAAUCGCGAAUCAGCAUGUCGCGGUGAAUACGUUCCCGGGUCUUGUACACACCGCCCGUCAAAUCAUGGGAGUCGGAAGUACCCAAAGUCGCUUGGCUAACUUUUAGAGGCCGGUGCCUAAGGUAAAAUCGAUGACUGGGAUUAAGUCGUAACAAGGUAGCCGUAGGAGAACCUGCGGCUGGAUCACCUCCUUUC